rnacentral:rRNA from 1 species
UUCCAGACUCCUACGGGAGGCAGCAGUGGGGAAUAUUGCACAAUGGGGGAAACCCUGAUGCAGCGACGCCGCGUGAGUGAAGAAGUAUUUCGGUAUGUAAAGCUCUAUCAGCAGGGAAGAUAAUGACGGUACCUGAGUAAGAAGCCCCGGCUAACUACGUGCCAGCAGCCGCGGUAAUACGUAGGGGGCAAGCGUUAUCCGGAUUUACUGGGUGUAAAGGGAGCGUAGACGGCAUGGCAAGUCUGAAGUGAAAGCCCGGGGCUUAACCCCGGAACUGCUUUGGAAACUGUGCAGCUAGAGUGCAGGAGAGGUAAGUGGAAUUCCUAGUGUAGCGGUGAAAUGCGUAGAUAUUAGGAGGAACACCAGUGGCGAAGGCGGCUUACUGGACUGUAACUGACGUUGAGGCUCGAAAGCGUGGGGAGCAAACAGGAUUAGAUACCCCUGUAU